CUGUCUUAGUGGCAGACGGGUGAGUAACGCGUGGGCAACCUGCCCUGUACCGGGGGAGUAACACUUAGAAAUAGGUGCUAAUACCGCAUAAUAGGGAAUACCGCAUGGUAAUCCUUUGAAAACUCCGGUGGUACAGGAUGGGCCCGCGUCUGAUUAGCCAGUUGGCGGGGUAACGGCCCACCAAAGCGACGAUCAGCAGCCGGCCUGAGGGGGUGGACGGCCACACUGGGACUGAGACACGGCCCAGACUCCUACGGAAGGCAGCAG
rnacentral:rRNA from 1 species